rnacentral:rRNA from 1 species
GGCAGCAGUGGGGAAUUUUGGACAAUGGGGGCAACCCUGAUCCAGCCAUGCCGCGUGAGUGAAGAAGGCCUUCGGGUUGUAAAGCUCUUUCAGCCGGGAAGAAAUCGCAUGGGCUAAUACCCCGUGUGGAUGACGGUACUGGAAUAAGAAGCACCGGCUAACUACGUGCCAGCAGCCGCGGUAAUACGUAGGGUGCGAGCGUUAAUCGGAAUUACUGGGCGUAAAGCGUGCGCAGGCGGUUUUUUAAGACAGGCGUGAAAUCCCCGGGCUUAACCUGGGAACUGCGCUUGUGACUGCUAAGGCUAGAGUACGGCAGAGGGGGGUGGAAUUCCACGUGUAGCAGUGAAAUGCGUAGAGAUGUGGAGGAACACCGAUGGCGAAGGCAGCCCCCUGGGUCGAUACUGACGCUCAUGCACGAAAGCGUGGGUAGCAAACAGGAUUAGAUACCCUGGUAGUCCACGCCCUAAACGAUGUCAACUAGGUGUUGGGUGGGUAAAACCAUUUAGUACCGGAGCUAACGCGUGAAGUUGACCGCCUGGGGAGUACGGCCGCAAGGUUAAAACUCAAAGGAAUUGACGGCACUGCUGCCUCCC